CCUACGGGUGGCUGCAGUGGGGAAUAUUGGGCAAUGGGCGCAAGCCUGACGCAGCAACGCCGCGUGGAGGAAGAAGGCUUUCGGGUCGUAAACUUCUAUUCUGAGGGACGAAGAAGGUGACGGUACCUCAGGAAUAAGCCACUGCUAACGACGUGCCAGCCGCCGCGGUAAUACGUAGGUGGCAAGCGUUAGCCGGAUUUAUUGGGUGUAAAGGGGGUGGAGGCGGGAAAGCAAGUCAGAUGUGAAAACCCCGGGCUCAACCCUGGGCCUGCAUUUGAAACUGUUUUUCUUGAGUGCUGGAGAGGCAAUCGGAAUUCCGGGUGUAGCGGUGAAAUGCGUAGAUAUCCGGAGGAACACCAGUGGCGAAGGCGGAUUGCUGGACCGUAACUGACGCUGAGGCGCGAAAGCGUGGGGAGCAAACAGGAUUAGAUACCCGAGUAGUC
rnacentral:rRNA from 1 species